AGGAUUAUAAUUUAUUUAAAAUAUUUGAAUUGCAAUCAAAAAAUGUUAUGAUUAACUUAUCUUA
rnacentral:tRNA from 1 species